GUUUUUACAUCUUAUAGAUCUGGUGGUCAGAAUUUAAAGAUAAUAGUGAAAAGAUCCUAAAAUAGUUAUACUCUUACAACAUUGUCAAAAUAUUUCUUGUGUUAAGUUUAAAUUGUUAAUCGAUUGAAGUGGAUAAAGUAGUUAUGUGAAAUGCUUAUUCUUAUUUAACUCCUCUAAAAAAAUUACUACGUAGUUCCGAAGGCCAGCUUAGAUUGAUGUGCAGUCAUUUAAAGGGAUAUAAAUAGUGUUAAGCAAGCCUAGAGUCUUGUACCAAAUGAAAUAAACGCGGAAUAGUAUGUUGCAGAAGAACAGUCGUAUGUUGUAUGUCAUCAAAACCAGAGUCCAUUCCAUAUCAAAUGGCACAACAAAGUUGACAAGACUUUUAUUUGAAUGUUGUGGUGGAUUCUAAACUUAUUGAUAGUAUUUUCAAUGCAGCUUCACAAUAUGUUCUGCUAACCUCUUGGUCCAUUACUCGAUCUCCUAUUAGAGGAGUGUCAAGGAAAUACUUAGUGAAAAUGGAGGGUGAGGUUAAUUUCUCCAAAAGUAGUUCAGAGAAAUGCUUCAAGGAAGUGAAAAUGAAACGGGAUUUAGCUGUGGAAUGUAACUCCAGAGUCUAUUCUUCAACAACAAAAAAAAAACAGACUACAUGGCAUAAAGAGUUCUAUUGUAUUGUUUGAGAGCAAGCCAUAAGUUUAAGCUCUUCAGAUAUGUUGCCAUGUUUCAGUCAGUUUAGAUAUACAACAGCUUUUAAGGAUUGUUUAUUAUUAUAAGAUCUGAUUUUGUAAAGCAUUUGAAAUAAUAACACACUUAUAGGCUGGUACAGAAUCUCUCUCUCUCCUAAUCUUUCCUAACUUUUAUGGCUAUCUGCUGUAUUCUUCUACAAUGUUACAAACAUUCUCCAAUCAAUCACCUCCUCAAUAUCCAUAUCACUUUGUUCAUUUUGAAACUAUGUUUUGGCUGAGGGAUAUUUCAGCCUCCAAACAUUCUUUCUCCAAAUUGUCUUGUCUCUUUGAGUUCAUCUAACUCUUACCCUAGGGUUGCCAAUCAGUAGUCUAAGUUUUGGAGUAUAUUCUUCACCAAAGAGAGAUCAGGUAUUCAUGACAAGUUGUGUAUUCUGCUGCCUUUGAAGUUUAUCUGACUUGAUUAGUUGGUGGCUGGCAAAUUUCCUGAAGUUAGUGUUGCAAUUUGUUAGUUUAUUUGCAUCAUUGAACUCUAAGAACUUUGAUCCCACUUCAUUCCUUUUUUCAUAUCCAAUACCAUGUACAUUGGAUCAGCUGUCAUUCCUUAUCAGAGUAGUCUGCAUGGAACAUCUUAGGAACAAUGCUUUUGAUUAUGAUACGUAUGUAGUGGUAACUUGCAUGACUAGUCUACACAUAAUUAUUCUACCACAUGCUCUGAUUACUUCAAUUCCUCUUUCCUACCAACAAAUAUCACAGACUCACUCAAUCCAGCACUAUUACUCACUCAGAAGAAUUUGUAUGUGUAUUCCUUGCUCAUAAGUAUUUUGACUGAGGUUUUCUCUCCAUUUUACUUUUUGUUCAUGGUGCACAUCUGUUCAUCUUUGUUGUGUUUCUACAACUUCUCCAGACCUACAGUUCAUUGUACAAACAUUGAAGUACAUUGAAAGUUUUGUACCUAACAAGAAAAGGAGUUUCCAGAGGUGGGUAGCUUGGUUGAAUUCUUUGAUGUUUUCUGCAUCUGAAACAAAAAGAAUUGUUGCCACUAUUUGAUAAGUGAAGUGGUCCUCACCAAUGGCCAGAUGUUUUUACCUGACCACCACACUACUGAUACUACAUGUUAGUUCUGUAUAUGCAUUUAGGAUUUUUCAUUGAUUUUUACAUUAAUGUUUUAUCAUCUUUCUUUCAUCAUUCAUUUACAACAGGGCCUUAAUGUUAUUUUAUUGUACCACACCUAUGUUCUCUGUACACUUUAUCAAUUUUUAUUUAGAAUUAGUGUGGAUUGGUAUCAAAAGAGUUAACCCUUUUAAUACCAACCUGCUUUCAAUUGCCUCUGGUUCUCUUUUACAAAUAUCCUGUUUUUAAAAAUAAUCUAAAUUAAAACCUUCAAUUAUAUUUUAUUAAAUUCUUCACUGUUUUCAAAAUCAUAAGGCAAUGUAUUUCAACAUAAAUCUUGUAAUAAAAGCGUUAAGCAGGUCAUCUUCAUUCCAGCUAAAAAAAUUUCUCUCUUCAUGAUGGAAAAGCUGAGGGAUUUACCACUGGGAUAUCUCAGAAUGGUAGUCUAGGGCCACUAACAAUCUGUCUUUACAAUAUGGAUGAAGAAUAAUGGCCAGAACUACCAAAUGGCAGAGGCAUAAUAGGAUGUGGACUAGCUUGAAGGUUUUUCUCUAUUAUGUGGGGAGGUUACAGAAUUAUGUUGGUGGUUGAAAAUGAAGUAGUCAUAAUAAUGUUAUAUUGAUUGGCAAACCUUGGAAGAUGGUGCAGGUUGUAGCACAAAGGUAGGUAUGUCAUUUUUUAGUGUUUAGCCAGUUUUUAUUGCAAGAUGAAGAUUUAACCCUUUAGCAUUUAAACCAACCAUAUCCGGCCAAAAUAUUCUACCUGUUUUCAGCCAGAUUUAGCCUCCCACACCUCCUCUACAAUGUUACUAAAACUAAACAUUACAUCAUUGAAAUCUUGAAGCUAUGAAAUAAUGCACGAUUUCAAAAGAAUGUGGAUAAAUAUGCAUAUCUAAUUACUUUUCUCAUUUGCAUUUUUAAGGAAGUUAUAUUUAAUAGUACUUUGUACAAAUAUGAAAAUAAAGAAAUGAUUGUUUAAACUUA